AGCAGUCGCCGCGGUAAUACGGAGGGGGCUAGCGUUGUUCGGAAUUACUGGGCGUAAAGCGCACGUAGGCGGUUUUGUAAGUCAGAGGUGAAAGCCCGGGGCUCAACCCCGGAACUGCCUUUGAAACUAGGUGACUAGAAUCUUGGAGAGGUCAGUGGAAUUCCGAGUGUAGAGGUGAAACUCGUAGAUAUUCGGAAGAACACUAGUGGCGAAGGCGGGUCUCUGGACAGUAUCUGACGCUGAGGCACGAAGGCCAGGGGAGCGAACGGGAUUAGAUACCCGUGUAGUCCCUGUCUCUUAUAC
rnacentral:rRNA from 1 species